rnacentral:rRNA from 1 species
AACGAACGCUGGCGGCAUGCCUAACACAUGCAAGUCGAACGAGACCUUCGGGUCUAGUGGCGCACGGGUGCGUAACGCGUGGGAACCUGCCUUUAGGUUCGGAAUAACUCAGAGAAAUUUGAGCUAAUACCGGAUGAUGUCUUCGGACCAAAGAUUUAUCGCCUUUAGAUGGGCCCGCGUUGGAUUAGCUAGUUGGUGGGGUAAAGGCCUACCAAGGCGACGAUCCAUAGCUGGUCUGAGAGGAUGAUCAGCCACACUGGGACUGAGACACGGCCCAGACUCCUACGGGAGGCAGCAGUAGGGAAUAUUGGACAAUGGGCGAAAGCCUGAUCCAGCAAUGCCGAGUGAGUGAUGAAGGCCUUAGGGUUGUAAAGCUCUUUUACCCGAGAUGAUAAUGACAGUAUCGGGAGAAUAAGCACCGGCUAACUCCGUG